rnacentral:tRNA from 1 species
ACUGAGAUAGUCUAUCAGAUGUCCGAUUUCGACCCGGAAGAACUUAAACAUUAAGUCCCAGUA